GUUGACACGCGCAAAUCAGAGUGAGAAGUAGAGCGACCGAUUUUCCGAUUUGCUAAUGGAUCCCGACGCCGUAGCGAAGGCAUUUGUGGACUACUACUACACCACCUUCGAUACCAAUCGGGCUGGACUUGCUAGCGUCUACCAGGAAAGCUCUGUACUGUCUUUUGAGGGUCAGAAGUAUCAGGGGACUCAAAGUAUCUCCGGUAAGCUCACCGGUCUACCUUUCCAGCAGUGCAAGCACCAGAUCAACACCGUUGAUUGUCAGCCCUCUGGUGCUGCCGGGGGAAUGCUUGUCUUUGUCAGCGGCAAUCUCAGCCUUCCAGGCGAACAACACGCCCUCAAGUUCAGUCAGAUG
rnacentral:misc_RNA from 1 species